AGGAAAGUAGCUCAAUGGUAGAGCACUUUCCUAGGAUGCAAGAAGCCCUGGGUUCAAACCCCAGUACCCA
rfam:Ictidomys tridecemlineatus contig066700, whole genome shotgun sequence.